UACGGGGGGGGGCAAGCGUUGUUCGGAAUUACUGGGCGUAAAGGGCUCGUAGGUGGCCAACUAAGUCGGACGUGAAAUCCCUCGGCUUAACCGGGGAACUGCGUCCGAUACUGGUUGGCUUGAGUUUGGGAGAAGGAUGCGGAAUUCCAGGUGUAGCGGUGAAAUGCGUAGAUAUCGGAAGGAACAUCAGUGGCGAAAGCGACUUCCUGGACCAAUACUGACGCUCAUGUGCGAAAGCGUGGGGAGCAAACAGG
rnacentral:rRNA from 1 species